GAUGAACGCUGGCGGCGUGCCUAAUACAUGCAAGUCGAGCGAACAGACGAGGAGCUUGCUCCUCUGACGUUAGCGGCGGACGGGUGAGUAACACGUGGAUAACCUACCUAUAAGACUGGGAUAACUUCGGGAAACCGGAGCUAAUACCGGAUAAUAUAUUGAACCGCAUGGUUCAAUAGUGAAAGACGGUUUUGCUGUCACUUAUAGAUGGAUCCGCGCCGCAUUAGCUAGUUGGUAAGGUAACGGCUUACCAAGGCAACGAUGCGUAGCCGACCUGAGAGGGGUAGCCGGCCAGAGAGGAGGAGAGCCCGGGUCAGGACUCUGAGGGGGGCCAGAAUAGGAAAUUCGCCAGCAGGGGGGAAAAGCCAACAGGGGCAGGGCGCCGGAGGUAAGAAGGUCUUGGGAGUGAAAAACCCUUUUAGUUGGGAAAAAGAAAUGGGUUGGGAACUAGUGCGCGUGUGGGGGAACCCUAAAGAAAGACCGGCGAAAAACGCG
rnacentral:rRNA from 1 species